rnacentral:rRNA from 1 species
UACAGGGGGUGCAAACGUUGCUCGGAAUCAUUGGGCGUAAAGAGCGUGUAGGCGGCUUGGUAAGUCCGCUGUGAAAGUCCAGGGCUCAACCCUGGAAUGCCGGUGGAAACUGUCAAGCUUGAGUCCGGAAGAGGCGAGUGGAAUUCCUGGUGUAGCGGUGAAAUGCGCAGAUAUCAGGAGGAACACCAAUGGCGAAGGCAGCUCGCUGGGACGGUACUGACGCUGAGACGCGAAAGCGUGGGGAGCAAACAGG